rnacentral:rRNA from 1 species
GAUCAUGGCUCAGGAUGAACGCUGGCGGCGUGCCUAACACAUGCAAGUCGAACGAAGCACUUAGACAGAACCUUCGGGUGACGUAUUGGUGACUGAGUGGCGGACGGGUGAGUAACGCGUGGGUAACCUGCCCUGUACAGGGGGAUAACAGUUAGAAAUGACUGCUAAUACCGCAUAAGCGCACGAUGGUAGCAUUACCAGGUGUGAAAAACUCCGGUGGUACAGGAUGGGCCCGCGUCUGAUUAGCUAGUUGGCGGGGUAAGAGCCCACCAAGGCGACGAUCAGUAGCCGGUCUGAGAGGAUGAACGGCCACAUUGGAACUGAGACACGGUCCAAACUCCUACGGGAGGCAGCAGGUGGGGAAUAUUGCACAAGUGGGGGGAACCCUGAUGCAGCCAACGCCGCGUGAGUGACGAAGUAUUUCGGUAUGUAAAGCUCUAUCAGCAGGGAAGAUAAUGACGGUACCUGACUAAGAAGCUCCGGCUAAAUACGUGCCAGCAGCGGC